AUACUUUGAAGAAUGUUGAUAACCAAACAGUUUCGGAUCGCUUUGCACCACACAAUGAAUAUCAGUGGGAAAUUCUUCGAAAUAUCUUCUUUUGUGUUCCACAGAAGAAAUUCAUACAGGUUUUCAACUACAUGAGGUUUCAUCAUGUUUUCCUCCUCCUCUGGACUGAAGUAGACAUCAGGUACUCAGGAGACAAACCCUGGCAGUUUAACCCAGCUGUGGCCAGGACGCUUCCGCUAAUUAAUGAAGCUCAACAACUACAAACACAACACAUUGUAGUGUUUCUAUUAGACAUUUCCUGUCUUUUUUUUUUACCACUUAAAUAUGUGAUGCACAAUUAAAAAUCCAUGCUGGACUGUAUAAUUUCACUGUUUUCCAUUUUGACAAAUUAACCAGCAUACAAAUUAUUCCCAUCCUCCCUGGCUUUACUAAAAGGAAUCCACUGGCAGGAAUGCACCUUUUGACUGUUAAACUGGCAUAUGGAUUGUUUUACAAUAAAAUAUGGGACAUGUUAUUGUCAUAAAUGUAAUAAAGCCUGAAAGUCAUAUCUUGAGCUUUAUCCUGCUGAUGUGCAGCUCUGUGGUAUUUCCCCCCAUGGUUCCAUAGUGAAAUCCCUGUCCUGCUGAGAUACAUAUGAUUAUAUUAGCCUCUUACUCCCAGUGCAGGAAGAAAAACCUGCCACAGUUUGGCAAAGGUACAGAUAUCGCUCCGCUUGUAUUUUUCAGCACACCUCAGCAAUUUGCUGGCUAAAGCUGUUGUAAAAGUUGUUUUUGUGUAGUGUUUUCCUUUUUUUUUUAUUUUUUAUUUAUUUAUUUAUUUUUUUGUGGCACUCCACAUUUGAUUACAUUUAAAGCCUUUGACACUGUGAUAGGUUUAAAGACAUUCCAUUUAAAAUAAUUAAAUGUAUUUAUUUAGUAGGGCUUUAGAAAACAACAACAAAAAACUUUAAAUAUUAGAAUAGAAUUUUGUUUGUUUGUUUUCUAAGUUCAGAUGAAAGUUGUAUUUCUCACAUUACACAGCAAUUAUUUUUGGUACAAGGGAAGCAAAAAUGGAGUCCAGUUGUUCUGUUUUUUUUUGUUGCAUUUAGUGUUGUGUUUUGUUAUAUUUUUUGUUGUUGCUUUUUUCACACUAUGGUAAAAAGGCACUGAAAUGUGUUGUCAACAUCCUACUUUCUUUUAUUUUGUUUCUUUCUUUUGGUUUGUUAAGUUGGGUUUUGUUUAGACUCGCUGAGAUUUUUUAUUUUAUUAUUAAUUAUUAUUAUUAUUAUUAUUAUUAUUAUUAUUUACAUUAUGGUACAAAGGUAUUGAAAUGUGCUUUCUACCCCCUUGUUUUGU
ensembl:lncRNA